UACGUAGGGUGCAAGCGUUAAUCGGAAUUACUGGGCGUAAAGCGUGCGCAGGCGGUUAUGCAAGACAGAUGUGAAAUCCCCGGGCUCAACCUGGGAACUGCAUUUGUGACUGCAUGGCUAGAGUACGGUAGAGGGGGAUGGAAUUCCGCGUGUAGCAGUGAAAUGCGUAGAUAUCUGAAGGAACAUCAGUGGCGAAAGCGACCUCCUGGACCAAUACUGACGCUCAUGUGCGAAAGCGUGGGGAGCAAACAGG
rnacentral:rRNA from 1 species